ensembl:lncRNA
CUCUCUGUACCCUCCACCUCUCACAAACGAGUCGGCACAUUGUGAGGCUGUGAUGUCCGAGCCAGAUCUACGACGACGACGAUGAUGAUGAUGAUUCGGUGUCAGGAGAGGGAAUAACGAAACAGACCAGAGCACGGCCAUAAAACGCUUAUAGUGAUAAAACAGACGACUACAUGUCCAAAUACGUUUGAUAAACAUUUACGAAGCAACAAACUAGUUAAAAUGUUUUGGGGGUUUUGAACAAAAUCUCACUGGAAUGCUCACUUUUGACCUGUCUCUUUCUGUGUGCAAUAAGUAGAUGUAUUAUAUAUUUUUGUGUCAAUUCACUAGCUGCAGUUACACGCCGUUACCAGUAGGACGUCUAUAUAAUGUUGUGUCUUUUUUCCAGACACGAGGAUGUUUUCAUUCAGUCACAGUUUCAAAUGUAACGAGAGUUUUAUCAGUAAUCGGUAAUGAUGUCACCCUUUUACGAGUCACAGCAACCAACGAAUGAUCAUUCUUCAGCUGCAUCUAAGGAUUAUUUUGAUUUUAGAUUUCUAGUGCCUUAUAUUACACGCCUAUUUUGAUAACAUUACUUUAACGUUUUUUGUUUUUUUGUGUGUGUAUUUUGUGUAUGCCAGUGUGUAUGUUUAUGACUGAAUGUUUGGUAUCUUAUGUUAUGUUUUAAUAUGUGAAAGAACAUUGUCUAUUCUGUUUUUGGGCUGUGAAUUUAUAUAUACCGGUAUAAGGCUUUGUAGCCAAAAUAUCUACACAUUUGACUAUAACGUGAAGGUCAUCUCAACGCCAUCAGCUACUAGUAUCCUACGGUCGAGUUUAUGAAUCCACAGGUCGUCGUUGCCAUUUCAAAAUUAUCUUGACGCUGCACAUGGUUGUUGUAUUUAUUCUUUUUUUUUUUUGAAAACGUAAUUGUCGUCCACACUUGGCAUUGACUGUGAGCUGGCUCAGUAAAAGUCUCAUUAAAGCAGCUAUGUAGAUCUGGAGCUAAAAGCAGCGCGUGGCAGUAAAUACGAAGAGGAAAUACGUUUGUCUGUCGUUCAAAAAUAUGGUUUAAUCUUGUGUACAUUGAAUUCAUUUUUGAGAGAAGUUCAGGUGCUACGUCUCCUCAUCCACAUCGACACACCCCCGUGAACACUGACUCUUUGUGUUGACAUCGUUUGAAUGCUGGUUUCACUUUGAGAUUUGGUCGCACCUGUUACAGACUUGCACUUUCUCUCUUUAUACUAUGCACUAUAUUAGCAUCUUAUUUUGCCCCAAAGGAGUUUUACUUGAACUCGGUACAGUCGGACCCUGAUCUGCUCAAGGUUGUGUAUAUGUAAAUACCACAGAGAGUAAGUGAAAAGCAUAAAUAAAUAAAUAAAUAAAUAAUAUAAAUACCUGAACAUAUGAAUGAAAUAAUAUUAAAUAUUAAAUACUAGAGUGAUAUAAUAAAACGAUGCACCUGAUGCACAGUUUAAGACACAGUUAAGUGCAAUACACAGCGUGGGUUUGUCACACCACAAAAUGUCUCACAACAAAAGUGUUUUAAAUCAGUAUUUACCCCCAAUGUAUUAUGUGGAUGGAUAAAACUGGAGUUUUAAAAUGUAUAAAAACAUAUAUAAAAAAAAUACUGUGUUAUUUGGAUCGGUUACCUCCAAUUGGUCUGUUAUUGUCAACUUUUUGUUGUUUUCUGCUUUGAGUCAACAAGUGCUUUUUUAUUUUUUCUUAUAUUGUUCUCAGAGCGUGUGGGAAACAAACAACGGGUCUGUAUGGACUUCUGUUCUUGUCGACACAAGUUUCAUUUGUUACAAAUAAACUCAAGUGAAAUACAUGAAA